AUGAGUUGUGAUGGGGUUUGAUGCUGGCAGCCAAUUUUUGGAUGCAUGUGCUUGCCCUAACAAUCAUCUUCCAAACACCUGUGCACAUUUUUGAGGGAGUUUCGAGUUUUAUUGCCGUUUUUGGUGAUUUUCUUGUAUUCCCUUGAAUUAUUAUACGCUGUUAACAAUGAUGAACGUGCUCUGUGCCGCAAGGCCAUUAAUAUAAUA
rnacentral:misc_RNA from 1 species